AUGGGGAUUAGAAGUUGGCCUCACAGGAAAGAUCUUAUGGGAAGGAGUGUGAAGCCUCCUUCUAUAUGCAAAGUAAACUUCCUCACAGUCUCCUUUAAAGACUUGAUAUCACGCUGUCAGUCGCAGCAGAAGAGGAGAAGCUCCCAUCAGAUCAACCUCCACACCAACAUCUUCUCUGUAGCUCUACUGCUGCUGCUGGCCGCUGGAUACUGUGUGAAGUGUGAGCAGUUGACGCAGCCGGCCUCUGUGACUGUGCAGCCCGGUCAACGUCUGACCAUCACCUGUCAGAUUUCUUAUAGUAUGAGCAGCUACCACACAGCAUGGAUCAGACAGCCUGCAGGGAAAGGACUGGAAUGGAUUGGAAUGAAACAUACUGGAGCGUCAUACUACAAAGAUUCACUGAAGAGCAAGUUUAGUAUCAACUUAGAUGCUUCCCGUAAAACAGUCACUCUAAACGGACAGAAUGUGCAGCCUGGAGACACGGCUGUGUAUUACUGUGCAAGAGACCCAAAGUAA